GAUGAAGAACGCAGCGAAAUGCGAUAAGUAGUGUGAAUUGCAGAAUUCCGUGAAUCAUCGAAUCUUUGAACGCACAUUGCGCCUUCUGGUAUUCCGGAAGGCAUGCCUGUUCGAGAGUCAUUAACAACCGUUUCGAUCCCUUUCUUUCAGAAAUUACAAAGAGGAAAAGGGUUUGGUUAUGGUGGAGGAGGGAAAGGGAGCGUUUAGCCUGUAAAAAAAGAGGCUGUGUUCCGCCUCCCCCCCAAAAUUGUACAGGCGGUCGUGUGCGCCCACGCAUUGAGGUGUUGUAAAAGCUGCCACGGCACUUUUCACCUGUGCAGUGCGAGAUUGGCCAGCCGGUUUAAAAACCCCUCCAAACAAUCAAAGGUUGACCUCGGAUCAGGUAGGGAUACCCGCUGAACUUAAGCAUAUCAAUAAGCGGAGGA
rnacentral:misc_RNA from 1 species